AUUGAACGCUGGCGGCAGGCCUAACACAUGCAAGUCGAACGAGUGGCGGACGGGUGAGUAAUGUCUGGGAAACUGCCUGAUGGAGGGGGAUAACUAUUGGAAACGGUAUCUAAUACCGCAUACCAUCAGAUGUGCCCAGAUGGGAUUAGCUAGUAGGGGGGGUAAUGGCUCACCUAGGCGACGAUCCCUAGCUGGUCUGAGAGGAUGACCAGCCACACUGGACCUGAGACACGGUCCAGACUCCGACGGGAGGCAGCAGUGGGGAAUAUUGCACAAUGUGCGCAAGCCUGAUGCAGCCAUGCCGCGUGUAUGAAGAAGGCCUUCGGGUUGUAAAGUACUUUCAGAGGGGAGGCGUUACCCGCAGAAGAAGCACCGGCUAACUCCGUGCCAGCAGCCGCGGUAAUUC
rnacentral:rRNA from 1 species